CUGGGGACACCUCCAGUGGCAUCCAUGCAGAUGGCCACUCUAUGUGCUUCCUGUGAGUGGCCAUAUGCAUGGCUUACGUUCAGUGUCUCCGCGCUCUGCAUAGAGAAGCUAAACGUUCCUCAUGGUCAUGCAUUGAUUCAAUGCAUCUCUAUGAUUAGAUGCUGAUUGGAGCAGUGGACAUACACAUUAGCCUCUCAAUGCUUUCCUAUC